rnacentral:rRNA from 1 species
CUAUGCGCCUUGCCAGCCCGCUCAGGUGUGCCAGCAGCCGCGGUAAUACAGAGGUCUCAAGCGUUGUUCGGAAUCACUGGGCGUAAAGCGUGCGUAGGCGGUUUCGUAAGUCGUGUGUGAAAGGCGGGGGCUCAACCCCCGGACUGCACAUGAUACUGCGAGACUAGAGUAAUGGAGGGAGAACCGGAAUCCUCGGUGUAGCAGUGAAAUGCGUAGAUAUCGAGAGGAACACUCGUGGCGAAGGCGGGUUCCUGGACAUUAACUGACGCUGAGGCACGAAGGCCAGGGGAGCGAAAGGG